GACGAACGCUGGCGGCAGGCCUAACACAUGCAAGUCGAACGAGUGGCGGACGGGUGUGUAAUGUCUGGGACACUGCCUGAUGGUGGGGGAUAACUACUGGAAACGGUAGCUAAUACCGCAUACCAUCAGAUGUGCCCAGAUGGGCUUAGCUUGUUGGUGGGGUAACGGGUCACCAAGGCGACGAUCCCUAGCUGGUCUGGGAGGAUGACCAGCGAGACUGGAACUGUGGCACGGGCCAGACUCCUACGGGAGGCAGCAGUGGGGAAUAUGGCGCAAUGGGCGCAAGCCUGAUGCAGCCAAGCCGCGUGUAUGAAGAAGGCCUUCGAGUUGUAAAGUACGUUCAGCGGGGAGGCGUUACCCGCAGAAGAAGCACCGGCUAACUCCGUGCCAGCAGCCGCGGUAAUUC
rnacentral:rRNA from 1 species